AUUGAACGCUGGCGGCAGGCCUAACACAUGCAAGUCGAACGAGUGGCGGACGGGUGAGUAAUGUCUGGGAAACUGCCCGAUGGAGGGGGAUUACUACUGGAAACGGUAGCUAAUACCGCAUACCAUCGGAGGUGCCCAGAUGGGAUUAGCUAGGAGGUGGGGUAACGGCACACCUAGGCGACGAUCCCUAGCUGGUCUGAGAGGAUGACCAACCACACUGGAACUGAGACACGGUCCGAGCUCGUACGUGAGACGGCAAUGGGGAAUAUUGCACAAUGGUCGCAAGCCUAAUGCAGCCAUGCCGAGUGUAUGAAGAAGGCCUUCGGGUUGUAAAGAACUUUCAGCGAGGGGGCGUUACUCGCAGAAGAAGCACCGGCUAACUCCGUGCCAGCAGCCGCGGUAAUUC
rnacentral:rRNA from 1 species